rnacentral:rRNA from 1 species
CGGACGGGUGAGUAACACGUGGAUAACCUACCUAUAAGACUGGGAUAACUUCGGGAAACCGGAGCUAAUACCGUAUAACAUGUUGAACCGCAUGGUUCAACAGUGAAAGACGGUCUUGCUGUCACUUAUAGAUGGAUCCGCGCCGCAUUAGCUAGUUGGUAAGGUAACGGCUUACCAAGGCAACGAUGCGUAGCCGACCUGAGAGGGUGAUCGGCCACACUGGAACUGAGACACGGUCCAG